CCACGCCUAGUACAAAAUGGCGAGCAAGGCAGACUCUAAGAUGGAUGAGGCUUUUGGUAAUAUAAUGUCUGGAUCGCUCAAGCUGAAGGGAAUAGGCUCCUUGGGGAAAGUUAAAAAGAAGAAGAAGACAAACAAAGCUAAGGAAGUACAAGAGACUUUAGAGAAAGUCGA